UUUGGAUUGGGUAAGGAGCAGGGUUAGAGUUAGGAGUAGGGUUGGGUUAGUAGUAGGGUUAGGGGUAGGGUUAGGAGUAGGGUUAGGGUUAGGAGUAGGGUACCUCUACCCCUAACCUAACCCUACUCCUAACUCUAACCCUACCCUAACCCUACUCCUA